UACGUAGGGUGCAAGCGUUGUCCGGAAUUAUUGGGCGUAAAGAGCUCGUAGGCGGUCUGUCACGUCGGCUGUGAAAACCCGAGGCUCAACCUCGGGCCUGCAGUCGAUACGGGCAAACUAGAGUACUGCAGGGGAGACUGGAAUUCCUGGUGUAGCGGUGAAAUGCGCAGAUAUCAGGAGGAACACCGGUGGCGAAGGCGGGUCUCUGGGCAGUAACUGACGCUGGGGAGCGAAAGCGUGGUGAGCGAACAGG
rnacentral:rRNA from 1 species